UACGAGUGGUGCUAGCGUUAUUCGGAUUUAUUGGGCGUAAAGGGUGUGUAGACGGCAUACUAAGUCAUUUGUUUAAUCCUCCGGCUUAACCGGAGUCCAGCAGGUGAAACUAGUAUACUAGAGGGUGGAAGAGAGAAGUGGAAUUCUCGGAGUAGCGGUAAAAUGCGUAGAUCUCGAGAGGAACACCAAUGGCGAAGGCAGCUUCUUGGUCCAUACCUGACGUUGAGACACGAAAGCGUGGGGAGCAAACAGG
rnacentral:rRNA from 1 species